rfam:Daphnia magna strain Xinb3 scaffold02512, whole genome shotgun sequence.
ACUAUAAUAGCUCAACGGUAGAGUACAUUGCUGUCAACAAUGUGUUCGUUGGUUUAACACUCAUGGUG